rnacentral:rRNA from 1 species
GAUGAACGCUGGCGGCGUGCCUAAUACAUGCAAGUAGAACGCCGAAGGAGGAGCUUGCUCUUCUGGAUGAGUUGCGAACGGGUGAGUAACGCGUAGGUAACCUGCCUGGUAGCGGGGGAUAACUAUUGGAAACGAUAGCUAAUAUCGCAUGACAACAGUUAUUGCAUGAUAACUGUUUAAAAGGGGCAACUGCCCCACUACAAGAUGGACCUGCUUUGUAUUAGCUAGUUGGUGAGGUAACGGCUCACCAAGGCGACGAUACAUAGCCGGCCUGAGAGGGUGGUCGGGCAAACUGGGACUGGGACACGGCCCAGGAUCCUACGGGAGGCAGCAGUAGGGGAUCUUCGGCAGUGGACGGAAGUCUGACCGAGCAACUCCGCGUGAGUGAAGGAGGGUUUCGGAUCGUAAAGCUCUGUUUUAAGAGAAGGACGAGUGUGAGAGUAGAAAGUUCACGCUGUGACGGUAUCUAACCAGAAAGGGACGGCUAACUACGUG